CGAACGGGUGAGUAAUACAUCGGAACGUGCCCAGUAGUGGGGAUAACCCGGCGAAAGCCGGACUAAUACCGCAUACGACCUACGGGUGAAAGCAGGGGAUCGAAAGACCUUGCGCUAUCGGAGCGGCCGAUGUCAGAUUAGCUUGUUGGUGGGGUAAAAGCCUACCAAGGCGACGAUCUGUAGCUGGUCUGAGAGGACGACCAGCCACACUGGGACUGAGACACGGCCCAG
rnacentral:rRNA from 1 species